rnacentral:lncRNA from 1 species
CCUAAUUUGAUGGAAUAUUUAGAAAAAAAAUGACAUUUUGCAAAGUUAUUUUAAUAUCUACAUUCUUGAUCAAUCUCUGAAAAGAGCAAAAGCUCAUUUUUAACAGUAUUACAGUGAGUCAAACUCAUUAUUGGAGCUGUCUAACUCUUUACCGAUUUCUAAAGAGUUAUUAGGAAUCGAUCCUACAGUACCUGCGGCUAUUAGGAAUCGAUACAUAGUUUGUUUUUGAAAUUUUUUGAGGAAUUUGUUUCUAUCUUUCUGUUUACAAAGUUGGUCAAGCAAAACACUAGCUGGCUGGUUCUUUAUCAUGAAUGAAUUGAGCUUUGAGGCCAGGUUCAGCCCUCUUGUUCGUCCUCUCUUUCCUCUUCUCCUCUUCUCUCUAUUUUCUGUUACUUACUCCCUCUCUUCUCUCUCUCCAUAUUCUUCUUCUUCUUUAUUUCAUAAAUUGCUGUGUAUCCCUACUUCUUUUGGGAUUUGCAUAGAUCACGUUGUUAUCUACAGAUUAGCAUGCAUUAUCUGAUCUUAUAUGAUUACAGAUUCAUAUUUGAUUGUUUAAAAGAGAUAUAGAUUGUGAUUUGAUUCAUCUUCCUGCAUACAAGAUACCCCAAAUAGGCAUUCUUUUGAACAGCCAUUGCCAUAGAUUUCAAGUUUUCUUAUUGACUAUCCUAAAUCAGAACCUGAACAACAGGCAAUAAAGUCCUUUGUAACCACAAUCCUCCGCCACAAGGUCCACCAUUGCAUGUAGGCAGCCCUAACCCCUUGCUAUCCUCCAUUAAAUUUGGUAUCAGAGAUAAAAGGUUGUACUUUUUGUUCUUCCAUUCUUCUUUUUGGUCCCUUUCUACCCUCUUCAUUUCCUUCCCCUUUUGUCAUGUUAUCAAACAUGGACUUCAUUUCAAAUUCAAUAAUCUUCAUCAACAUGCCAAACAUAAAAAAGAAGAUUUUUUGGCAGUUGGAGACUAGAUUUACAUCCAUCAGUAAUGAUAUGAUGUCAAUGAAUGCUAAACUAUAUGCAGCUGCAGCAAUAGGAGUUGGAAAGCAUCAAGAGUCACAAAGUUGAAAAAUCAUUGCAAGAAGAGACAAUAAUUGAAGUUUCAUCACAUGGAGAAGCUAUCAUAGGAGAUCCAUCAUGCAAAGAUGCUGCAAUUGAAGAUCUGUUGAUUGAAAAUGCUGCAGAUGAUGAUCCAUCAGGUAUUUUGAAGGUAGAAGAUCACAAUGAUGAAGAUUUCUAUAAAGAAAACUCAUGGUAAUAUCAAGUCACAACCCUAAAGGCAAUCAGGGGGAGAUGAAGAUCCAUUCUUGAUUUGUUGGAUUUAACAAAGAUCGCCAUCAGAAGUAUGACGCAGAGCUUGUUGGUUGAGAAGCAAUCAAGCAAUGGACAUUAGACCAACCAAUCAAUGAUGUGAUUGCAAGAAAAAUUUUAUGUAGGCUCUCAUCAUUAGAUCUUGGAGAUUCAAUGGUGGAUCAAGCUUAUAAGUGACAUCAUGAAAAUCUCAAGGACGAGAUCCAUGGAAUGAAAGCAAAUGAUGCAAGAAUAUUUUGCAUCGCAUUUAAAAGCCUGAAUUUACUGAUGUAAAGUUCUUUUUUGCAGGCUUUAGAUUGAAAUCAUAUGAUUUUUUGAGUCCAAUAACAGCCAAUCAAGAUUGUGUCACAGAUCUUCAAGUCAACAAUUUUAGGAGGGCCAAAAGGAGUCAAUUUAGAUUUCGGCUCUCUUGUAUCCUCCUCAGCCAAUCAAGAUUGUGUCACAGAUCUUCAAGUCAACAAUUUUAGGAGGUCCAAAAGGAGUCAAUUUAGAUUUCAGCCCUCUUGUAUCCUCCUCUCUAUAUUUUCUGCUACAUAUCUUUCUAUCCUCUUCUUUAUUUCAUAAAUCUGCUGUUUAUUCCUGCUCAUUUUAGGCUUUGAAUGGAUCAUAUUGUUGUCUAAAGAUUUCUGUGCACAUUAUCUAAUCUAAUCUGAUUAUAAAUUUGUAUUUGAUUGUCUAAGAGUGCUCUGAAUUGUGAUUUGGUUCAUCUUCCCACAUAUAAGACACCCUAAAUAGACAUUCUUCCAACUAGCCAUUUCCCUAAAUUUCAAGUUUUCUUAUUGACUAUACUAAUUUAGAACCUAGACAGUAGGCAAUAAAAUACUUCACAAUCCUAAUUCUUCAUCUCAAAGUCCAUCAUUGCUUGUAGGUGGCCUUACCCUUGUUGAUCUACAUGACCAUCCAUUAAUACAAGCUUAAAAGAUAAUGAAAUCAAUAAAAAAAUAAAAAUAUAUGAAAUCCAUUUUUAAAAGUCAAUCCAAUUUAAAAGUAUAUGAAUGACAAGACUAUGUUAAAAAAAUAAUACAUUUUAUUUUAUUCAAUUUCCUAAUUACAGCUUCACUAAGAAAUGAAAUUAUAAGGAUUAGGAAACUGUUAAAAGUGAAUCUUAUAACAAAGAGACUGGAUGAUGUUCAGUAGAACUCACACUUUAUUCCAACUCAAAAGCCCUUAAGAGUUUUGAUAUGCAUUUGAAAUCCCAAAUAAAUAAGGAGAUAAAGUGCAAUGGCAGAGAAUGGGAGAACAACUGAGCAGGAGAUUGGAGCGAUGUUUGAGAUGAUAUGUUUUGAGAGGGGGAUCAAUAAUGUUUGAGAUGAUAUGUUUUGAGAGGGGGAUCAAUAAUGUUUGACAUGAUCUAUUUUUAGGGGCCGCCACCUAUAUUGUAAAUAGAAAUUUCGAUUCAGGGUAGCAUGGCCAUGAGCAUCGAUUCUUCAAACGAAGAGAGCAGUGAUAUCAAAUGAAGUAACUAUACAUUUAGGAUUUUUUGCCUUAUAAUAUAUUAGAAAACCAUUUAAAAAUGAUAAAUGACCAAAAUGUCCCUCUUAAGUGGCUUAUUACUGAAAGAUGAGGCCCAAUAAUUGUAAAAGCAAUUGAAAAUGGUGCCUAAGACAUUAUUUGUCCACUAUAUGGGUUCACAAUACUAAUACUUUUGAUCAAAGUAGAUGAUGCAUAAAAAUGAAUCAUACCCAAAUUGCCAUGAGUUCCUUUAGUUUUAUACCACAAAGCCUUUGAUGAAGAAAAAGGAGACAUGGUCUCUUGGAUGAAUACAAGUAGUCUCAACCUGCUUUCUAUCCACCUGUUCCCAAGCAAGGAGAUCAUUAUUUUCAAUAUGUUUGGUGCAUUGGUAGCAGAUAGGACUUGAAGCAAUGUAGCAGUCACAUUGUUACAUUGUAGCUCUAGACCUGCUCUUACAUUCAUAAUUUAAAAAAAAAAAUUCUUGCAUCAACUUUGUAUCUUAAUGAACUCAAGUUUCAUCAGUGUUAUCACCUCAUCACUGGACCUAGCAACAAUCAGAACAUAGCCGAUAGAACUAUACUUGGCAGAAUAAUAGAAAAAAUACUUCUGAAAUAAUACAGCUUUGUUCUAAGACAGUCAUCCACAAAAACCACCCUCUCGAAUAGGUACCUGAUGGAAAAAGUUACUGAAACUUCAAUGGACUCUACUGCUUGAGAAAAGCUAAUAAUAGAGUACGAGGAGAGAUGACUAAGUGAGCAUUAAGGAAAAAGGUCCCUCUUUUUUGGCAAACAAGGAAAAAGGUCUAUUCAAGAAGUAUACUUGAGUUAUUAAAAACAUGAAGUAAGAGGCUAUAUGUUGCAAGCCAAAAUGAAUCUUUUUUUACACAGGAUCAAAACAAAGUGCCAAUCUAAACUCCUGUGAUGUUCAAGAGGAUGUUCAUCAAGUCUGCAAAUGAUAUGGUUUCAGUUGAUACACCAUACUUAGAGGGCAUGUAUUUGCAUUUUGUGUGAAGAAAUAUAUGCCAAUAAGGUCUAAUUUGGAAUUAACGGAAAGGAGAUAAACUAGCUUUUUGUACCCCCAUGAUAUCCUCAUUCUGAGAGUCAACAUCAAACUUGAUAGACGGCUGCAAAUCAGCUAGAUAGAUGGAUUUGGAGACUUAAUAGAAGAUAAAGAUUAUCAAGCCUGCUAGUUUGUAUAAAUCCACAUGUUAGGCAACAUAAAAUAAGUAUUCGAGUCAGAAGCAAAUAUAUAAAUGUGAUGCUGGAGUCGCACCAAUCAGGAAUAAAGUGGUGAAGGAUCCAUAGAGAUUUGUUCUUUUACAGAAAGCACUUGCUCAAGUAUGCAAAAAGAAGAAAAGAAGAAAAAGAAAAAGAAAAAGGGAGAUAUAAAGAUAAGAUUCUGAUGACAAACAAUAUGACUCGUGAUAAGAAUGCACAUGAGCAACAAAUUAAGAAGCCAAAAACAAACAACCGGAAUAAGGCUUGCUUAUUAAUGUCAUAGUUUUCUCUAUUGAAUAAUUAUAUUUGCAACCUCUACACAGACUCCAAAAACAGCCGCUAUUCCAGAAAAGAUCAUGCUAUUACAGACCAAACUAAAUUUAUUUAGUAAAGAAAAUCAUGCUAUUACAGAGCAUUUCAAAAAAUCUGAGAGCCAGAAUCAACCCCGUUCCCGAUCUUCUUCCUAGUAAGAUUUAGCACAAGUAGGAAACCAGGAUUCCACAAUAUACGACAUUUAUCAACAAAGCAGCAGCACGAUUAGAAAGAAAACAAACAACAAGAAGCAUCGAGCUGCAGCAAUCAGAUCCAACUUACAGAUUUCAAUCCUGAGCCAACUUCUUCCGAGCAGCCCUGGCAUUAUCAUAUUCAAACUUAAGCACAUUCGGUAUAUGCGACGUGUCCUUGAUGUACAACAACCUCCCCACCGCACUCUCCUCGAUCGCCGGAAAAUACUCCACCAGCAUACUGUUCACGAUCCAGAACCACCCCACCCCAAGCACCAGCCCCAGCGUCGCCCCCGCAAACACCUAAAGACCAUUUCAAACAAAACGAAAUGAACAAAAUCAAUCAUCAAGAAACCCCGAGAUGGGGAACACAACAAGAAGAGAAAUCAAGAGCCUGACCUGGGCGACGGUGUGGUAGCCCAAGUAAACCCUAGAGUACAAGGUGAGCACCGCCGCGGGCCAGGGGAGGAAGGCGAGGAAGAGCCUGGAGCACGGCGAGGCGACGCCGACGACGCCUUUGUAGCAGAGGAGGGUGCAAUAGGCGGCGAAGAAGAACAUGUACUGGGAGUGGGAGGAGGGCCAGCCGUGGGAGUCGCACAUCUCGAGGGCGGCGCAGGUGUCCGGGCGGGACUGCUGGACGGAGGUCUUGAUGAGCUCGUUGAGGACCUGGGACACGAGGAGGCCCAGCGAGAAGCACAAGCCCUGGAGCUCCCGCCGGAAUAGGAAGUGCGUCACGAAUCCCCCCAGGCUUAUGAACACCGGGAUCAGGGAGACCCAGGCCAGGAAGUGGCCCAGGGAGUCGCCGCGCCGAUACCGGACGUGGGUCAGGGUCACCGCCUUCAGCACCGAAGCCGCCGCCGCCGCCGCCGGAGAGGGACUCGUCAUUCCGUUAGCCGGCGAUGCCACUAUUACUUUGUCUUCUCUUCUGGUAUUUAUUUAUCGAAUUAUUAAAGAUGUGGUGGAGAAGGAUCGGGGAAGGGGAGAAGAGGAGAUUGGAUGUCUUACCUUCUAGGAGGCUUCUCUGGAAGCAGCGAUGUGGCCGAGAGAGGAGGGAUGGAGGAUUUGGUAUGCGGUUAUGGAUAGAGAGGUCGAUGGUCGGUGCGUUAUUGAGUGAAACGUGGAUUAGUGUGCGAAAGACGGGGGGGGUUGAGGGUAGUUUGCGGCGGGGUAGUCGUUGAAUUGGUGUUUCAUGGUGGGAGGUCGAGAGGUGAGGUGGCUCUUGUGUGGAGGAAUGAGGGGGUCUUCGCCGAGGACAUAAUCGCGCGCCGUUGGUUGCUGACAAAUGGAAGUCAGUGGGUACGAGGGUACCUGUUGUGGGAUCUAUGCGAGGAAAAACUUAAAAAAAGGUUGAAACUUAUCAAAUUGAUAAAAAAUUAAACAGUAAUUGAUGUAAAACCUACAAACCGAUCAUAGAUUAAUGAUCUAUUUAAGUCAUAUGGCAAAAAAAUAGCCCUGAUUUGAAUGGACGGUUACUUCUCGCCAAAUUCCUGACUCCUAGCAAUUUAUUUUUUCUUAUUUACAUAGUAAAACUCUCGAGGACGGGACAAGUUGAAGAGAAACUCUAUCAUUUAUAAUCAAAAAUUUGCUUGUCGAAGUUUGUCCAGCAAAAGGACUUUGAAUGUUCAAGUAAACUAGAGUUUGAAGAAGAAUCGAAUAGAAAGUGUGCGAGAGGGUUUUGGAUCUGAAAAUAAAACUUGAAGUAGAACUUAUAUGAGAGUCAAUUUCUCUCUUUUUUAAAUAGAGGGAAGUUCGUCGAUCAUUACCCGGGUUUCUUGAAUACAUCUAUGGUGUUCACUAACGAGCUUGAAACGAGAAAGUCCAUGCACACACGUUAUGGGUGGUUAUUAUAUCCAUGACGGUGUAACUGUUGUGGGCAAUAGUUACGUCCAUAGUGAGGAAAAUAUCUGCUCAUGUUCGCGCGAACAAAGAAAACGGCUUAGGAGGGUUUUAUUUGGGCCAAACUCUUUUUGGAUAUAUCGAUCAUCGGUACGUAGCUGAGAUGGUUCUUCAGUUGACAUCCAAGGUCAAGAAAUUAGUUGGCUUCACAACACUGACUUCCACUCUCGAGUUCAAGAUGACCUUGCCAUUUUAGACAAAGGAAGUAGCUAGUUUCUUAUGUUCAACUCGGCCUCAGUCAUCGAUUUUCACUCAUAGUGGAGGCUCUCAUUUCAAGGCAAGGGUUGAUGUCGUCUCAAAGGUGCAACUGAAGAUUCUCGAUCUGCAUUUAAUACAAUAAUUCGAGGUUAGUAAGGAUCAAAUUGGAAGUCGGCUUAAGGACAAACUAAAGAGAAACUCUACUAUUGGCAACCAAAAAGUCCACUUGUUCGAAUGUGUCCGAUAAAAAAUCUUUCAAUACUUAAGUUAGUCGGAGUUUUAGGAACAAUCGAAAAAAAAAAAGAAGAUAAUUUUAGAACUCAAAAUAGUUAUUAAAAUAGAUCUUACUUAAGAGUCCGCUUGUCCCCUAUAUAUAUAGAAGGCAGUUCAUCCGCCAUUAUCUCGAGUUUCCCAAAGCCACUCGUGGUGUUUAGUAAUGGGCUUGAAAUGAGGAAGCCUAUGUGCACUCGCUAUGGGUAGUUAUUACACUCAUGAUAACAUAACUAUUGUGAAAAAUAAUUACAUCCAUGGUGAUAGAAAUAUAGAUCAAACCCUUUCUAGUAGCUAAGGUGAUUCUUUAAUCGAUGUCCAAGAUCGAAAAAUUAAUUGUCUCAACAACAAAGAGUUUUAAAUAAUUUUUUAAAGUAAAUUUAUAGAACAUGUUAAGUGCAAUAAAAUUACAUACACACAUACAUACAUACAUAUAUGUGUGUAGCAAAGCUCUCCAUGCUCCACCUAUAGAGUCUUCAUUUGCCACAUGUUUGAAUAGCAUUUACCUUCGCAUGAGUGCUAGCUGAGUCAUCCAUUUAUUCAUACUAAUAUUUUUUUCAAAGAAUCCAUUUUCUUUCUCAUUCUCUCAUAUUCUCUUAUCUUCUCCCCCACUAUCACCCUCAUUUCCAAGCUCUCUAUUAUCGGCACUAAUUCAUGUCACCUUUGCCACCUAUCUCAACCAUGGCAUCAUCCUCCUCAACAUUAUAACAUUAUUACUGUCCACAUCAGCUAUCUCAUGUACGCCUAGCACCAUCAGAGGACCAAAUUUUAUUUAAUAUAUUUAUAUUUUAAUUGAAAAAAGAAUGUAACUCAACAUAUCUCUACAGUAACAAGAUUUUUCGAUGAGGAAUGAAUAUAGACUUUACUUCUUGGAUCGAAAUCAUCAUUAGUUAUGUUAGCAAGCAUCAUUUGUCUUGAAAUAUCAUCAUGUGUAUGUAAAAUUUAAUUGAAUGGAAAGAAUUUAAGCUAAAUGCAUCAACAUGAGAUCUAGGUUUUUAUAACGAGGGAGUGAUUCAAAAUUCAAUUCCUUGAUUUAGAUUCAUAUAACCAUGUAAGGUAUCAAAUCUUAAAAUUCUUAUGUGUAUUUAAAGUUUAAUUUAUAAAAAGAAUGUUCACAAACAAUGUAUCCCCAGGAUUUCGAAUGUAUUAUGUGGGUAAGAAAAAGAGACUUCACUUUUUUGGUCUCGGUUCAUGGAUUAUUAUACGAGGCAUUAAAUUUAGAAAUCUUCUGGUUAGAUCCCCUAACAUGUCCUUCCAAAAUAAACAUUAUAACAUUAUUGGAUAUUUAAAUACGUGUGAAAGAAAAUCUACUCUAUGGCUAGUCUCCUUUUCCAUUUUUCGUUCCUUAGUUCAUUUGCUGCCUUUUUCCCCAUGCGCCACCUGAUAGAACAUCAAAAUGAAGUCCAACGCAUCAAGCCAUCGUUAUUAGAUUUGCUCUACCUUACCGUUUGCCUUCAGCUCUUCCUUUUUCUCUUAUCAUCAUCAUGUCAUCUCAAAGUCAUGAACUUAAUUAUCGAAAGGGUAUCAAUACGCUCUCUCUUGAACACCAAGCCCGAGAUUGUUGUGCUCUAUUACUCGGAUUUUCCUUUUUUUCGUAGUUGAUGGGUAAGUUAUGAUCAAAAAGCUCAACGUUGAGACGACAUUAAUGAAAGACUCAUGUUUUACCUAAAAAACAAAUUAAGGACCAAUGACCCUCACUAAGGUUCCAUUCAAACCAUUUAGACUCAAAAGUCUACGCGGACUAGGAAGGGCCAAGGUCUAUGAUGGAGCUUCAUUUAUGGGAUGGAGCUAGAACUAUGAUCCUUGAGUAUUUGACUACUUAGUGAUAGAUGUUUUUCCAAGUAAGGUUUUUGGUAGAAAAAAAUUUAUGAGUGAUGCAACCACAUAUGCGCUGGAAUUUUGAUACGCUGUUCUGCAUGAACUUUCUCCUUGUAUCUUGUUUUCUUCGCUUUGGUAAAACAAUAAUCCUUGAGGUGCUUGAAUGUUUUAUUUCAGCACUUCGCCCCUUCUUUUUGCAUGGAGACUGCCGCAAAUAGGGGCUAUGUUUGAGCUGUUUUCUCAUCAAAACCGCCUGCUAUGGCUGCAUGCUGCACGCUGUUCAUCCAUCGGGAGAAGCCGACGGCAGUGGCCGGCGAGCAGACCCCACCAUGCACGCCUUGGAAUCCAUCGUAACGUCAGCCAUUCUAUGGACCCACGCAAGCCUGGUCUCUUGUCCGGUUGCGGGGACGCAUGUAUAAAAUUCUCAUGCGGAUGUAAAUCCACAUAAAAUAAUAUGCCGACCGCAUAACUUUUUUAUGCGGUUGGAAUUUGCCGCAUAGAGAUAAAGUAUGUGGACGUCCGUAUUCUGGAUGUCAAAGUGAAAGGGUGGUAGCCGCAUCGAUUAUUGUCAGGAUGCUCCCCUGCGCGCGGGUGCAUGAACUAUCGAUGAAGAAAGAAAAUCUGCAUAGAGAUAAUUAUGAGGACAUCCGCAGCUAAGCUUUCUGUCGGAACGGCGCUUUUUCUUCCUUCCUCCGUUGCCACGGCCGCCCGUCCAAGAGCGACAGCCCACUCCGUAGUCAUUCUAGUAGCCUCUGGCGGCGGUUCAGUGGCCGCAAUACUCGUUAAUAAAAGAACCAAGCUCCACUCUCGGACCGUUUUGCUCUUCUCCAAAAGAUCGAACAGGAAAGGGUAAAACAAUGGCGGACGAAGGGGUUUCACCUCCUUCCCAGCGGCGAGAUUCCAUCAAGUCCUCAGGUUCUCUAUUUCUUUCUUGAAUGGUUCAUUCGCUUUUACGGUCAUCUGCCUUUGAAACCCUAAAGAAUUUUGAUCCCAAUCAAAAGAACCUUCCCGGGUGGAUUCAACUUCUCCUCUCCCAAAAACCCUAUAAUGUGAUGGUAAAAUAGAUUAGCGAGCGUGAAUAUAUAGUUCGGUUCUAAAUUGGCAGGGCAAACCACACUAAACAAGUUGGUCAAGAAGUCUCCGAUGGAAAGCUUAUGUUUGUCGUGUCAAUCUAUCCGAAAUAGAGAGCUUUUCAGAGCUGGGUGUCAGGGAAAAUUUAAAAUCCCAUGCUUUCUCUGCUUAUAAUCAAUAUCUCCACUUCUUUUCCCUGCCUUCGAGUGCCCAGCAUUAGAAUAAAAUUCUGCUUUUCCAGAUCACCAAUGCUCUUCUCGCGUUAUGAAAGAAGACUUAAGGCAUCACCUUUUUUUGUUAACGAAUUUUUAAGCUUUGUUUUGUUGUUGUAUUAAUGUUUAUUUUGCCGUCAAUCUGCAAUUUUUUUUCCCUAUGAUUUGUUGUAUUCUUUUUAUAUGGAGAUAACAUAAAAAAAUUGUAUAUCAGUGCACAAUACUGCUGCACAACGGCGGCGGCAACAUGCCAUUGCAGUGGGAAAGGAAAGAAGAGAAGCGUUAAUACGCACAAAGCGCCUGUGUCGGGUUGCAGUUGUUGAUGAUAGUGAAGUUUUACUGGAGGGUGAUAUGCUUGUUGAUGAAGAGAAGGCAGUGUUGGAUUCCCAAACUUCUCAAACUGUAGAAGAUUUAAAGUCUGCUUUGUCGUACCAGUAUGUCUUCUCUCCCCCAUCAAGAUGAUAAAGAUUUUGUAAGCUGCUUGGAUGUGAAUUCUCUUUCAACAAUGAAUAUCUUGUUUUGAGCAGAGCUGGAGUAACUCUUGUAUGUGAUUUUUCUGUCAACCAUUGGAGGUUGCCUUUGUUCAUCUUGAAUAUAUGAAGUUUUAUUCUAGUAAAACCAUAGACAGCAACAGGAAUCUAUUGAGUGCGUUAUCCAGUCUCAUUCUAAUACUCGAUGACCCUUUUGUAGCAGCUUGAGAUUGGCCCCUCCUUAAUCCCCUUCAUGUAUUUCUGAGUUCUGACAACCAUCCAUACUUUACAAUCCAGCUCCUUAAUAACUCUUUCUUCUUCAUUCAAUAAAAUAGGGGAAAGUGUCUCACUUCCUCCAUUUUUCCUCAAAAAAUGACAUGAGGUUCUUGUGUUUUUCCAUGUUGGAUGCGUUGAUAUUUUGGGCAUGUGAAAUGACUCGUACAUAUAUUUCAUCUACCACUAGUUACAUUAAGUGGUGCCCAGAAUUCACCAAUAUCAGGCUUUCUGCCCCUUAAAACUUACGAUAUGAAGUGAUUCUUUGGGGGGAAAAAAUCCUUCUUUUAGAUAUCAUUGCUAUAUUGAUUUUUUAGAUGACAACAUGUAUGAAAUGACUUAGGAUGAGGCAGUGGAUUAACAUUUAGAGUUCAAGAUCUAUAUUAUUCUUCAAUGGAUAUUCCAUGUUGAGACAACAAGGAUUAAACACCAUGGUAUCUAAAACAAACUCUCCAAAUUACCUGUUUAGGAUCUAAUCUAUAUGUCAAUCUCAAAAUGUUCAAGUAGCUUAUAUAUAUGUUGAAUAUUAUGAAACAAUGCACAUGGGACCAGCUUUGAAAACAAUAAGUUGAUAUUUUAUUUCAUAAGAAAUUAAGAACCAUUCAGUGAUAUUUUUUAAUCAGAAAAUUGCAUAUACUGUGUUCUUGUGACUUGAAAAUAUACCAGGUUAAGUUUUAGAGCUUAAAUACUUUUUUACCUCAUUUUCUUUUAUUCUUUUAUUUGCUUUCAAAGAAAGGAAGGGUGGGUGCUUAUUGCUUAAUGGAAGGAAGAAAAAAAAAGAAAACAGAUAGAUGAUGGUCCAGGAGACACUAGUACAUUUAGUCUGAGUUCUUCUUGUACCACUAAAAAAUAUCAUGGACAACUAAGAAAAGGGAUUUAUUCAUCUAAACAGUUUUUAGGUAUCCCACCUGUCCCUCUUAUUCAUUUUAUCAAAUGAAAAUUUACCUAGGUGCUGCUAUGGAUUGGAUUGCAAACAAGAAGAAAUUGUUAUACAUAUAUGCAUCUGAGGCUAUAAUCUGCAUGUGGUCUCCACAUCUAUCAUAAUUGCAGUUAAUCAUCAUCUUGUAAUUAUUUUGUAAAUUAUUUUCUCAACUUGCUUGAUGUUGAUGUCUUUUGAGUUGAAAUUUCUAGUGGCAAAGGGGCGACACAGAAGAAGAUAGAGAUACUUCGUGCCUUGAGACGCUUGUUAUCAAAGUCUGAAGUACCUCCUGUUGAAGCAGCCCUCCAAGCUGGAGCUAUUCCUGUCCUAGUGCAAUGCCUAUCUUUUGGAUCAGCGGAUGAACAGGUCCACAUAUUCUAGUAAAUUUCUACUAGCUACUUGGAACUAAUAAUACAUGCAAGGAUUUAAGGGCGUCAUGCUAAUUUCUACCCGAUGAAUGACAGUAACUGAAAAUAAACUAACCCUCUUUUUGCUGUGGGUAUUUGUUCACUAGAACUAGAUUAAGAAGCUCAUCACUUGCCGUUCAGAUUUGACUUGCCUUCUCCUAACUAUCUUUGGAUGAGCCAACUUGAUCACUAGGGUGAAUUUUGUAUCAUCAAAACAAAUGAUAUGAACAGACGUAACUAGUAGCUAAGCAAUUACAAAAUAAAUGAUAAAAUCAAUAAAAUUAACUAAACAAUAUUCUUCUUAAAAAGGAAGGAAUACAAAUAGAUAAAAACCUAUGGAUUUAUUUUCAUAUGGUAUGUUAACUGAACUACUUGCUGUCAAAGCAAAUGGUUUUUAGUAAACCAUCACAAGGACAAUAUAUUUUUCUUAUUUUCAUUGAUGAUCUAAGAAAGCAUUUGGCCAAUUUCAAACCUAUUUAAUUAAAGGAACUUUCAUAGAUUCAAAACAAUGAACAAUAGAGUACUUUAUCACUAUAUUACAUACAUGGCACCAUGCCAUGAUCUCUUUGGAGAUAAAACAUUUUGAUUUGCUUCAUGUUACCUUUUUCCAGUCCAAUGAAUGAAGUGGCUGAUUCCUUCAAUUUAUUAUAAACUCUAAGAUCCUUCAAUUUAUUAUAAAUGCUUAGAUAUUUUACAUUAAAAGGGAACUGCAUAGCCACCCAUAUAUUUAUCUUAUUAAAUGUAUUCAGAAAAUUAUUAGCUUUAUCCAAUAUUUUUAAAGUCAUCUUGAAUUGCCUUAGCUGGAAAAAUAUCUGCUCUAACUGACUGGAUGAAUAAUGUUAUUUGAUUAUAAAAGGGAAAGGUUACUUGAAUAAGUUCUAUUGACUCUCUGAGUUCUCAGUUAUGAUGGAACAGUUGGGCUCGGCUAAGUCACAAUUCCUUUUCAAAGCUUGAUGGGUUAAAUUGAAAUCUUACCUGCUAUACUUAGAGAAUGACUCUAGUUGGUUGAGACAUAAGUUGACUUGCCAAGAUUUAUUAGUUUCUUAGUUCUUAUUGUGGUUUAUAUUAAUCUACAACAAUAUAACUUUCAAUUACUUAUGGUUACAAUUAUCUUUCUAAUCAUUUUACAGUUGCUUGAGGCUGCUUGGUGCCUUACUAAUAUUGCAGCUGGGGAACCAGAAGAAACAAGGUCGUUAUUGCCUGCAUUGCCUUUGCUUAUAGCUCACCUUGGAGGUUGGUUAUCCUUUUGAGGAGUUCCAAACAUAAUAGAUUUGGCUCCUGUUUUAUAGGUUUUCAUAAAUGUUUAACCAUUUUUUCACCAUGGAUAUGCACAUCAGUUUCCAUAUUGAAAUUUAUUUUUUUAAAAAAAUUCAUGUCAUUCAUUUUGGGAACAAUUGGUUCUUUGAGAUUUCAGUUUCAUUAAAUUAGUAAAGUGAAAAACUCUGCUCCCACUUCCUAUAAAUUACAAGACUUAAUACUACUUAAAUGCGUACUGAUAUUUUUGUUAUAGUCACUCUCCUUUAGUGAGCCUUUUGCCAAGUAUGUACCUCCACUUGGAGGGUUAAACUCGCAUUUAUGGAAGGGUCUUUUAGCUAUUAGUGGUAUCCUUGAGUAUUGGAUUUUGCUAACCAUGGCUUAAAGCAUUAUGCCAACUUGAUCCAAUUUUCAUUAUCACACAAACUUUUGAUUUCCCUUAUAUCAUCUUCUUUAAAUCUAGUUCGCUGAAUUUUUCAUAUAUAAAUUGUUAGGCUGCUACCUCUUAUAAGAUGGAGAGUCGGAGAUGUAUUGUAACGACCCAAGAUCUCAUCCAAAAAGGCUACCCGAAAGAUAUUAUUUGGAUUCCUUACUCUUGUAUAAGUACCUAAGAUUUUUUUAGCGAAUAGCCGAUGUGGGACUAAAUACACGCUAUGAGUCUUCACAUACUCCCCGCUAGUGUCCUCGCCAAGCUAAGAGUCUAAAUCCAUGAAUCCAUUCAUAAACACCAAGAUUAAUCCAUCGUCAGCCCAAUGAACUCAUGCUGCAGUAUCCUUUAAUGCACAUAGGCUAUGGGCUGAACUUGGCUAUGGUACCAUUUGUAACAACUUAGGAGUUAGGACCUCGUCCAAAAAGGCUAGUUGGAAGGUAUUAUUUGGAUGCCUUAGUCCUGUAUAAGUCUCGAAGAUUUUUUCAGUGAAUAGCUAAUGUGGGACUAGAUAUACCCCCACACGGUCCUCACACCUACCCAAGGGGAGAUAAUGUUCAAAUUUGUUUAAUGGGAGUGGUAAAGCUUGGGAGGAGAUGGCUUUGGCUUGAGUCUUCAAUGAAAGUCUUCUGUGUGCUUGUGUCGUGCAUGUGUUAUAAAUCACUAAUUGCAAAAUUGUAAGGACAAGUCCAUCCAUCUUUAGAGUUCUCCUAUUGGUUUCCUUUCAACCUGCUAUCCGGCUUGUAGAUAUGGACAUCGAUGCAGUUGGAUCUUGAAUCUAACUCAAAUGGUGGGUUUAACUUGGCAUGAAUGGUCUUAUAACUGAUAGGUUUAAGGCCUAACUACCCUGACCUUAAAUGAAACAAAUGCUACCAGAACCUGAAAAAUGAAAUAACUUGAUAUACAAGCUGGAUGGAUUUGAAUCCUAAAAUCAGAACAUAGAUGUGCCAGGAAUCUGCUCUUGUCAUGCUGCAGUUAAACCCGAUCCAGCCAAUUAUCACCCCUGACCAAUUUUAAAUUUUAGGCUUAGAGGGAUCCCAUCUUUGUAUGAAAAAGUCAUGCUUACACCUGUUAUUUCAUCACAUAAUUUCAACAAUGGGAUUAUUGGCCAGUAAAGGCCUGUAACUUAUUCUUUGUUAGUAGGAAGCGAAACUACUUUUUGCUUAUUUGUACCAUCCAAUAGCUUUUCACUGACUUGUGAAUAUCUGGUAGAGAAGAGUUCUGUUUCUGUUGCUGAGCAGUGCGCAUGGGCCUUGGGAAAUGUUGCUGGUGAAGGGGAGGAGUUGAGAAAUGUUUUGCUUUCACAAGGAGCUUUGUUACCUCUCGCACGUUUGAUGCUGUCGAAUAAGGCUUCUACAACAAGGACCGCUGCUUGGGCACUAUCAAAUCUCAUUAAGGUCAUGAUCUUUUUCACUGGAAGUUUAGGGAAUUUCACUAAUAUUUCUAGUCACAAAAAUCUGUGUCUAGGAUUUAGGUAGUGGUGAGUACAAGUCCGUGCUGAUAAGUACCAGUCCGUAUUGAUAAGGUACUGAUAUCAGCACACCCUGUGCUGGUACUUUAUUGAGACAUUGUGUGGUAUGUUCAUUUUUGCUGUACUGGCACAUGAAGGCAUACCUUGAAUCAGUAUGAUACCACACCAUACCUACUUUAUAGUUUAUACCUUGAUUUAUAUGCUUUUGUUAGUAAUCAGAGAGCAAAACAAUUUGAUGCUUAUUAUAUUGCUUUGCAAACAAUUUAUUUGUUCUCUUUGUCGAAUGCAAUCUAUUUUGGGCAUCUAGUUUAAAAUGUGAUAUAGGUAUACUUUCAUUCAUUCUCCACAUGGUAACGUUUAGUCACAUGGAUAAGAAGCAAUAUAAAUAUUGAUUCUGGAAUGUAGCAUGGCAAUUUUUGCUGUGCUAGUUCUUACAAUGGGAUGUCAAUGCAUAUUUCUGGGUAUUUUCUAAAUACUAAAGUGUUACAUGUAAUCUUCAAGCAGUACCAUUCCUAUGCCCAUUGUACCAUGUUUAGCUGUCUUCCUUGUGUUCAUUGUAAGUCGGGUUGAUCAUUUUCCUGAAACCAAUAAGCUAACAUAUGAGGUAAAUGACCAUUUCUAGAAGAAUGAAGUAUAUCUACGAGGAUUAAAGCUGUGAACACAUUAUGGCUUUCUCUGUUUCAGUAUGAAUCAGAUGUUUCUUAUUUGUUCAGCUAUAGUAGUACUACUCCUUUGACUCUAGAAAAUUUAUCUUGACUGGAUUUCUUAUGUUAAGUUUGUCAUGCAUGUACACUAACAUGUCACUUCAAGCAGGCAAUCUACUGUUAACUAGUAUGUAAACUUGUGUUGUUUUAUCUUUAGUUUAUUUUUACAUCUGUCCUAAUAUAUAAUGCAUUAGUCUCAAUUGGAAUGUAUAAUCUGGUUUGCAUUUUCCAUUACGUCUGUGUCUGGAACUAGUUUUGUGAAAAUGGAGGAUGAUAAAAUACUCUUAUUCUUUAGUGUUAGACUCCUUGAGGUAUACCUAGAGAUAUUUUUGUGUAUUUGCUUUAUAUAAGCAUCACUAGUUGUUGCUGCAUGUUCCAUUAUAUGCAUAUAAAAUUUACCAGAUUCACACUUAAGGCUGCUGAUUGAUGUUGCUGCAAAUUAGGUUCUUCAUGAGCAUUGUCAUUGUGGUGAUCGGGUAAAAUUAUAAAUCAUCGCACUGGAUGCUUGCUUGAAAGUGUAAGCAUCGGUUACUUUUACAAUGAGGCAAUUUGCAGCUUGUGAGAAACUAACUGAUGGAAAAGGAUACAAGUGCACUAAUUUUUCAUCUACAAAGGAUAUAACCUGUAAACAACUUCUCACAAUGGCAUGCCAAUCUGUGAUCCAAAAAUACCCUGUUUUAUAUUCCUGAAUCAACUAGAGACCUAUUCUCUUCACAUAAUGGGAUCCAUUAACAUACUCAAAGCUAUUGUUGAUUUCUUCUAUUUGAUCUUGUUUCAUAUGAAGGUUUGUAUUUGAUAUCUUUUACUCCUUUUGGGGCUCUUCCCAGGUUGUAAGUACUAAUAAUAAUUCCGUUUCAAAUGCAUUUAUAUGUAAAACGUUGAAUAGGCCUAGUGUUUGAAACAUUAUGUUAAUGAAUAAUUUCAUCGUCUUCAAUGCCUUUGAUUACUCUUUAUGUUUAUGUUCAGGGACCUGAUCCUAAGGCUGCAACAUCAUUAAUAAGAAUUGAUGGGGUGCUAGAUGCAAUCAUACGGCACUUGAAAAAAUCGUAGGUUUUUUGCUUGGUUUAUUGUUAUCUCUUCUCACUUUAUUACAUAACCACAUAUUUUGUUAGUAAUCUUCGUAAAAGUCAAGGUAACAACAACCUGUUUUAAUGUACUAAUAUAAUCUAUUUCUGCUCUAUAGAUUGAUUUCUUGAUGGAUAUGAAACAAAUAUCCAUUUAUCAUCAUCCAGUCUUGGGAAUAGGCAGGGGCAUAUGGUCAUGCACUCUGCCCUGGAUUACACGCUUCAUCCAAUUUCUAAGAGCUCUUUAGGGAUCGUACAAAAUGCAAACUGUCUUCCCACUCAAAAAGCUUUUUAUGUUUUCAAAUCCAAAAUAAAAAGCUCCAUGACAAAGUUAAUAUAACUACAACAGUUUGGUCUGUGUUUAUUUGAACAAGCAUGGUAGAUGUUGGAGUUUAUUUAUCAUGUGAUGGUUGAAGUUCCAUCUGUUAAUCUGCAUAUUUAUAAGCAUAAAGUACAAUAUUAAUUGCCUUGUGAUAUUUUACAUUUUCAUAUUGAAGAUUCUCAAAUGACUUGUUUUCAAUGAGUUAGGUACCUAGGAACUUUACUGAGUUUCCCUAACCUAGUGUGUUCUUGCAUAUACUGAAAUAACAUGUUAAGCCACAAUCUAUAUGAUGAUUUAUGCCUUAUGAGCAAUAUUAUCACAUAUAUGAUCUGAUAACCAUCAAAGAAAAGUGAUGUUAGUUUCACAAUACUUUUCAAGUUGGUCUCUGAAAUAAUCAGAGAUGCAGUCACCCCAUGCAUUCUGACUGUAUGUGAUGAUCCCUCAAGUGCUUGUUCUUUCUCACAAAAGAUUGGCUUUUUUAUAUGUAUUAUACAUUUAAAUUGUUUAAAAAUGAAGGCCUAUUGCUGUUUGUACAUUGUCUAACCAAGUUAUUUAAUUUCAUGCUUACAAUUUUAUGCAUGUUUUUUCAUGUCAAUAUUACCUAGUUGAGUCACAUAACAGUGAGCUAAUGAUUAUUUGUUGAAUUGUACUUAGGGAUGAUGAGUUGGCUACUGAAGUGGCAUGGGUAGUGGUUUAUCUUUCAGCACUCUCAGAAACCGCUGUCAGUCUGCUGGUAAAAAGUGAUGUCAUUCAUGUCAUUCAACUUUUAGCUGGAAGAUUAGCAGCAUCAGAGAGUUUGCAGUUGCUCAUUCCGGUAGCAACCACUCUUAUGAAACUGAGUUUCUGCCAUACAGAUUAUUUACUUGCUUGCUAGGAAGAUUCAGUUUUAUUGUUCCUUCUUCCUGGAAUCUGUCUUCCUGAUAUAUGACAGUCUUGUAUAUAAUAAUCUUAUUUUGCCAUCUGAACCUCAAAACAUCCUCCUAGAUGUUGAAUCAUAGAUGCAUAUGGUGUCGAUAAUGAUCUUUAAUUUUUAAGUGCUCAUUGUACCUAGCUAUUUCACCUUUGAAGCAUAUGCAUUGGUGGUUGGUCUUAUCUAGAAGAAAAGAUAACCAUGUCAAACCCAUUUUACAUUAGUUGUGCAAAUUAUGUAUUGCAUUUUCCACUUAUAUUGACUACCUUAGUUCUUUUUGUCCACAUAUUUUAUUUUUGAUUUCUUGUCAAUUUAAAUGUGGUGGAUCAUAAAAAACUAUCAAUUCCAAAUUAAAAUGCUAUCCAUCUUGUAAUUUUCAUUUGUAAGGCUCUGGUUCAAUUCCCCUAAACAGGUUCUUCAAUUGAACUUUCAUUACUAUACCAAUACGUAAAUAUAUGGCUAUCUGUGAUGCGUACAUGUGUAUAUUCUGCUUGUUUGCAUCUGUAUAUGUAUGGGCCAUGGGGGAUCUACACUGGAACCAUGAGUCAUAUACAUUUUUGAGUUGUGAGUCAUCAUAAGAGGGUUUCGCAUGCCAAAAGUUCCAUGUUUUCAGUCAUGGUCAUUAAGGUUAGCAUUCAGAUAGUAAAAUUUCUCAGGGUUCCAUACUGAUAGAUGAUUGUUCUAUUCAUACAGGUACUUCGUAGUUUAGGUAAUCUUGUAGCUGGUGACAGUUACAUUACUGAUGCUGUCCUAAUUGUUGGACAUGAUAUCACAGGUUGCUCUGAAACUUUUCUUGCUUGGAUGUGAAUUUCAUUCUUCAUGAGUACUGACUGAUUAUAGUUUUCAGAUCAAGUCUUAUCAGGUUUGGUGAAGUGUUUGAAAAGUGAGCAUCGAGUUUUAAAGAAGGUACCACGUUGUUAUUGGUCAACUUUUAAUAUGAAAGGCACAUAACUGUUUUCUCAUAGAAGUUCUAAACUCACUGAUGCAGGAGGCUGCAUGGGUCCUAUCUAACAUAGCGGCAGGAUCAUUUGAACACAAGGAGUUGAUAUUCUCUAGUGAGGCCUCACCUUUAUUGAUGCAUCUUCUAUUAAGUGCACCAUUCGACAUAAGAAAAGAAGUAGCAUACGUUCUAGGAAAUCUUUGUGUUGCCCCAGCUAAAGGUGCUGGACAGCCAAGCAUAAUUCUGCGGCACUUGGUCACACUUGUGAACCAUGGAUGCCUUCCAGGGUUUAUAAAUCUGGUCAGGUCUGCUGAUAUAGAGAGUGCGAAGCUGGGACUUCAAUUCUUGGAACUGGUCAGCAAAAUUCACUUCCCUAUUUUCUCUGCCUUAUGUUUGUUUAUUACAGUGAUAAUUUUAGGAUGCUAGUGUCCCACUUGUUUUGCCUGCUUCUUUUCUUCUGUUUCAUGGAUGUUUUUAUGUGAUAGGAGUAUUAUUUUACGAUGCGUAGGUUAGUAUAAGUAUUUCACUGCAUUGUUUAAACUGCUAUGAUGUUUUUCCACUUGUCUCAUAGUGUUGUGGUCUUAAUAUGUCCUAGGAAAUCUAUUUUUCUUUAAAAAAAGAACCUAGCAAAGCAAAAUAACAUUUGGUUUUUGAAUUCUACUGGAACAAAAAAAUGCGAGUCUACAUCAACUGUUAUGCCAAACACUUUUUGUGGAAAAUCUUCUAAUCAUUAGUUGCCUGAAUUUCCAUUCAAACCGAUGGGGGAGUAUGUGAUUUCAAUCCAGUCGUGUGGAUGGAGGAUAUUAAUUUUUGCACAUAUGCUUGUAGGUCUUGAGGGGGAUGCCCAAUGGAGAAGGCCCCAAGCUGGUUGAGAGGGAGGAUGGAAUCGAUGCGAUGGAAAGGUUCCAGUUUCAUGAGAACGAGGAAAUGAGAAACAUGGCAAAUGGAUUGGUAGAUAAAUAUUUCGGUGAGGACUAUGGGGUUGAUGAAUAACAACACCUGCACGACCAACUCUGACAUGGGUUCUACUUGUUUUGGACCUGCAACGGAUGUGCCAAAGGACCUUCAUCCAUCUGGCUCUGUAUUGCAACUGUUUGAUGUUUAAAACAUGUUUGUAUGAAUCAAAACGUGCUGUGUGAUGUAUGAGAUGGCAUGAUGGUGUACAGACCAGUUGUAUCUAUCUAAUUUUUUUUUUUUUUUUUCAAAUGAGACUCCAAAUUAGGAGUCAUGCAGAGUAGAUAACUACUUUAUGGAGUUACCAUGUGAUCCUAAGCUAUUUAUGCCACCCAUUACAAUUCCAGGUUCAUUCGUUUCCCUGGUGGUCCAUAAAUAGGUCAAUUGCCUGAGUCAUACGCAUGAUGAUUGAUUGGAUGAUAUCCAACGCCCGGCCAAUCCCAGGCAAGUUGCAGACUGAUUCGGGCUGUAGAAUGAUUAAUCUUCUUUUGUGAGCCUGACCAUCUGAUGGCACUCGGUGCUUUGAGAUCGGUGUGAAGAGUUCAACAGAUCUGAUGGCGAUCGCUCUGUGGAGUGGAGAGGAGAGGCACGACACCUUCCACCAACCCUCUCGGGGUGGAAAGUGGCCAGCUGAGGAGGAUAGAGGAGGGCUAUCGGAUGGGUUUCUUCUCUCCUCUCUCCACGUGGAUGGGGAUCACAUGCCUGUCGAAGGUCUGGGGCACGGCGCAGGGUGAAGCGGUUGCACGUCUUCUCUCCUCUCCACGGAAUUAGCGUGAUAAGACCGGAUGAUGCCAUCAAAGGAAUCUCCGCUUCUCUCAUCGCUUCUGGUCAGCACUUCGCACCGAUUUGAAAGUGCCAAACACCAUCGGCCGGUCGGACUCGCGAAAGAAUAUAAUCAUUUGUCUGUGCGAAAGAAUAUAAUCAUUUGUCUGUGCGAAAGAUACAGCACAAACCCGCUGCAAACUAUACGACUCUAAAGCAUAUCAUGAUUGUUAGAUUCUCCAAUUGGUUUUUGGCGAACAUCUAGCAUCCUGGCCUGGAUAUGGGGCUAGCUUUAUAAAUCUUAUAGAAUACGGGGAAUAUAAGUUUAGCUUCUGCUGAUUGUAAUUUUAGAUUUAGGGGAUGGUUUCUCGCCUCCCUUUCCACAAAUUUACCAUGCACUGAAUCUCUGAUAAAAAGGUGAGCCGACUAAAUGUCUAUAAUGUUUCGUGUCAAAGUGCGAAACAUAGAAUUGCCAUGACGGAAGUUAUUUACCACCAAAAAGGGGAAAAAAACCUUGAACGGCUUAUCAUGACAAAAUAAUGCUAUGAUGAUUUAUGUAUAUAUAUAUAUAUAUAUUUGUUUAUUUAAGUAAUAUUAAUUCAACAUUAACGAUACAGGCAUACUAGGAUAUAAAACCUACGUGUUUACAUGUUACAAUUACAGGCGGCUAACUACCACUGCUAAUGCGUCCUUGAGCCUUAACCCGUGGCAUGAAGUGAAUCGAGUGAAAUGAUCUGAUGCUGCGUACUGCAGACAGGCUCGUCUUUCUUGCACGGGCUGGCUGGAUGUUGUAGAUUUUCCCUAUCUUAGUAGGUUGCCAUUAAAAAAAAAAGAAAAGAAAAGAAACUAGGUAAAGAAGAAAAAUAGGACUAGUACUCCGGAUGCUUGGAGGGAAGCAGGACCUGCAAUAAGAACACACUGGUGCCAGGAAAUAACUUGAGCAUACCUUGUCAUUCUUUAAAUAAGCCACGGGACAACGAUAAAUUCCCCCCCCCCCAAAAAAAAAAAUGGAAAACUCAUGAACAGCUGGAUGAGUAACUUAAACCCAGCUACAAAUCAGGAACUGGCUAACAUAAACAUCUAAAGAAGCAGGGAGAUCCGAACAGGAAACAACAGAAACAAUCCAUCAAUCCUAACGACUGGGAAAACUUUUUCAAAAGUCCUAAUGGCUGGUCAGCCUUGAACGUUAACAGUUUCGAACAAGACUCCGCUUCAAAACUUUGAAGAGAAACUAAAACACAGCAGCUAGCAGUUAUAGCAGUCUAAGAAGCAGAAUUUUGGAGGAGAGCGAAGUGUAAUGACCAUGAAGAGUGGGUGUAUACUGCGCCUUCGGCCAGGUUACCUUCGCCGGGAAGAUGAUGCCGUCGUCCGGUUGGGUGGAGCCAUCGGCGGCCACGGCAUCAUCUCUCCUGCGAGGGAAACUUGUCUUGACGUGUAUAUGCUUUAAACUUCCUCCUGGUUGAGUUUCUGGGACGGAGGAUUCGGAUUUUGGCGAGUGGAGGCGAACAGCCUGCUCACUCCUCUGUUUAGCAUCAUGAUAUGUGGACAUUAGACGCUGGGUGCUGCCAAUAAUGCUUCCAGACCCUGCCAAAGUGGGUUCAUAUCAUAUGAUGUCUUUUCUACUCUGUGAUGUCACAAUACUUGCGUCACCUACAGUGGUUUUUUUUUAAAUAACAUGAAUAUAAAGAUGUCCACCGGGGUCAGAAAAUAAAAUAUUUAAAAAUUAAGAAAAGGGACAUAUAGAAGAAUCCCAAAUAACAGUCCGGCAUAAUUAGCUACAUAACUUACCAUCCAAUCUAUGAUAUUAUUGGCUUUCUUAUAAAUAUAAUAUAUGAGAUCUCAGCAGGAAAUAAGGUAUGCACCCAUUCGCCAACAAUCAUAUAAAAGUGGAUGGAGUCUGGACCAUUCGCCAACAAUCAUAUAAAAGUGGAUGGAGUCUGGACCAUUCGCCAACAAUCAUAUAAAAGUGGAUGGAGUCUGGAAGUAGUAAAAGAUGAAUAUAAAAGUCAUCUAAUAACUAUCAAAGAACCCUCCUCUAAAUAGAUAUGCCUAGCAAAAUCAAUCCUUCUCAAGUUAUACAUAAUUUUGCCAUAGAAAUAAAAUAUUAUACAUUUUAACACCUCCAGCAGGUUUAUAUAAGGGUUUAUUUGCACCUUUUAUUACAAAACUUGCUCCACCAAAAGAACUUCUCUUUAUGGUAUACUGCCACUAAAAAAUGAAUUUAAGAAAGUAAAAGAUGGUAGCUCCCAAGAGAAAUAAAAUAUAUGUGGAGAUGCAGAAAUUGCACAAUAAGUGCCAUAGUUUUCCUCUUUUUUUUGAAUAUGACAUUUGUGCAAACUUUUUAAUUAAGAUAAAUGCUUUUAACAAAAUCAGUCUUGCACUUAGCUUCAUACUCAAAGAAAAGGGUCAUUUCUCAACAUCCAAAUCCAAUGGACAAUAUAGCACAUUAAUUUGGUUCAAAUUUUUCAUCUUUGCUAGAGGAUCUCUCUAAUAUAAUGAAAAAAAGUCAUCAAUGGAAAUAGCCGAGAUAAUAGAAAAAUGCUCAAAUGAGGCUAGUCUCUAAUGUUGAGUUGCUACGCGGCAUUAAAGUAAAAGAUAAAAUGCAAAUUCCUCCGCAUAUUAACAUAAAUUAUAUUGACUUGGUAUGCAAAAUCUUCGAUGAUGCAAUAUAUUUCGAUAUGAUAAGCAUCGUCAAACCACUUUCGACAUUAAAAAGCAAUUCCGUAAUGAACACAUGUCUUGCAAAUCCAAUGAACAACAUAAUUGGCUGAGAGAUAAAAGUUUAUAAAAUCAGAUACCUUAAUUGUCAAGUAGAUGGUUGACCUCAUCCCAAUCUAUCAAAAUUAUCUCUAUCCCAAAUUCAAAUAGCUAAUAUUUUAUUUGCUAAUUCUCCUAUAAAAACUAUGAUGGAUAACAUCCAAAUUCUAUAUCCUUUGUCCUAGAAUUAACAGGCCUUUUACUAAAGCCCUUGCAAUGUGAUAGUAUCAAUACCAUUGGGCUAAUGGCAUCAGGGAUCACUAAGAAUCUUCAAUCACAUUAAUAAAUUCAUCAUUACCAAUAGUCUAUCGAAUAUUAAAGAGAAUAAUUAUAGCAUAUAAACAUAUUUUCUUCCAUAUUAUAGCUCCACUUGGAGAACAAGUUGGACACGAUGAAAGAGACAAUGAAAGCUACGUUGUUGGGGCAAAAUAUUCAAUGCAUGUUUUACCAAAAAAAAAAAAUUCCAAUGCAUGUACAUGUGCAUAAAAUUAUAUACGUAUAGAUCCACUUGGAAGACAAGUUGGACACGAUGAAAAGAUAAUGACACCUAUAUUUUUUGGGUGCGAAAAAGCCUGUGCCCAUGCAUGUGCAUAAUCUUACAUGCUUAAUAUGACCGGGUCAUGAUUGGACCACGAAUGGCCCCCGUGAGGAUGCCUACGCACGGCCAGCCACGUAAUAAUAUGUCAGCUCACGGGCUAACGCACACAUGUAGGCAUAGCAUAAGCUAUAAUGUGCUCAGACCAACNNNNNNNNNNNNNNNNNNNNNNNNNNNNNNNNNNNNNNNNNNNNNNNNNNNNNNNNNNNNNNNNNNNNNNNNNNNNNNNNNNNNNNNNNNNNNNNNNNNNNNNNNNNNNNNNNNNNNNNNNNNNNNNNNNNNNNNNNNNNNNNNNNNNNNNNNNNNNNNNNNNNNNNNNNNNNNNNNNNNNNNNNNNNNNNNNNNNNNNNNNNNNNNNNNNNNNNNNNNNNNNNNNNNNNNNNNNNNNNNNNNNNNNNNNNNNNNNNNNNNNNNNNNNNNNNNNNNNNNNNNNNNNNNNNNNNNNNNNNNNNNNNNNNNNNNNNNNNNNNNNNNNNNNNNNNNNNNNNNNNNNNNNNNNNNNNNNNNNNNNNNNNNNNNNNNNNNNNNNNNNNNNNNNNNNNNNNNNNNNNNNNNNNNNNNNNNNNNNNNNNNNNNNNNNNNNNNNNNNNNNNNNNNNNNNNNNNNNNNNNNNNNNNNNNNNNNNNNNNNNNNNNNNNNNNNNNNNNNNNNNNNNNNNNNNNNNNNNNNNNNNNNNNNNNNNNNNNNNNNNNNNNNNNNNNNNNNNNNNNNNNNNNNNNNNNNNNNNNNNNNNNNNNNNNNNNNNNNNNNNNNNNNNAUAUAUAUAUACACACACACAUAUAUAUGAUCUCUCUCUCUCUAUAUAUAUAAUUAUAUAUAUGUAUAUGUAUGCAUGCAUAUAUGUAUGCAUGUAUGUAUGUGUGUGUGUGUGUUAGAAGUGUUUAUGUGCGUAUGUAUGUAUGUAUGUAUAUAUAAUUGGUAAUUCUAUUUUUGAUUGAUAAUAUGCAUAAAAUUAUUUUACUUUUUUUUUUGAUAUAGAAUGGACGGGUAUGGGUUAGGUAUGGGGCGGGUAUGGAUUGGGUAUGGGAAAAUGGAUUACCCACGGGUGUCUCCGAACCCGUUGGGUAUGGGGAUGAGUAUCUCUUUUCUUACCCGAUUGGGUAUCGGGUAGGGUUUGGGUAUAGGGUAUUAAGUUCGGAUUUGGGGAUGGAUAGUAUACUACCCAACCCAAAUCCUAUCCAUUGCCAUCCCUACUUACAGAUUGAUGGAUCAUUGUCUUGGAUCAAGAGAAAGUAUGCGAUAAAUCUUCCUUUCUUCCUUAAGAAAGUAUAUGAUAAAUAUGAAAAGGCAACAGGGGCCAGCAGAUGGUUGCGAUACUGAUAUAUUAAUCUUAAAUGGUUAAAAUGGCAAUUAUCUCAUUCAAGGAUCAUUUGAUUGAAUUGUGUGCUGUUAACUCAUUAGAUUGAUAGCUGAAAAGAGUCCCCACCUGCAAUAUGAUGGUCCGACUCAGGCUCUUUGCUUGUCUAGGUUAUAUAUAUAUAUAUAUAUAUAUAUAUAUAUANNNNNNNNNNNNNNNNNNNNNNNNNNNNNNNNNNNNNNNNNNNNNNNNNNNNNNNNNNNNNNNNNNNNNNNNNNNNNNNNNNNNNNNNNNNNNNNNNNNNNNNNNNNNNNNNNNNNNNNNNNNNNNNNNNNNNNNNNNNNNNNUAUAUAUAUAUUACAGUCAAAAAUUUAUGACUCGAUAUAUGAGUUAUUAUCCAUUCUGAUCCAUGAGUCUUAUAGUUUUAUCUUUCAAAAAAUAUUUUAUGUGAAAAAGAUAGUCUCUUUUUAUAUAAAUCAGAGUUUUUUUUGACUAACAACCAAUAUGCAAUUAAUGAUGUUCUCUCUUCUACGUCACAACAUAGUCCUCUAGUCAAGAAAAAAUCUGAUUUAUAUAAGAAGGAACAAUCUUUCUCAGAUGAGAUACCUUUUAAAAGAUAAAAUCGUAUGAUCCAUGGAUCGAAGUAAACAAUAUCUCAUGUGCCGAAUUAUGAAUUCUUGAUUACAAUAGUAACAUAUCAGACAAGAGACCAUUCUGCAAUUGUAGGGCUCCUCUCAUCCGUACAUCAGUCUAUGGUAAAACUAAAGAAUAAGAUACCUCUCGUCCUUAUACAAUUUUUUUUUGUAUCGGAGAACUAUAUUGUGACGUAGAAAAGAUGGCAUCAAAUUCUACAUUGAUAGAGAUUUAAAAUUUUUUUUAUUUAUAUAAAAAAUUUAUUUUUAUCGUAAAAAAUAUUUUUUGAAAAAUAAAAUUAUGGAGUCAAUGGAUAAGGACGGAUAAUAUCUAAUAAUAUAUAUACACACACGUGUGUGCGUGUGUUUAUGGAUGGGUUCUGCAGUGAAAAGUGCCGCUUUUCGCACCGGACCGCGCCCGGAUUCCCGCAGAGCAGCCCGACGGAAGGCCUGCCCGCCACGGCGCGUUUAAAAUUCCAAUUUGGGCGGCUAUAACGGAGGUGGAGAUGGGAACGAGAAUGACCCUCCCUCUUUUAGCUACAUCCUACGAGCCUCCCACUGUGAAGUGACAACAUUGCCGCCGCCGCCGCCUCCAAUCCGAGCCCCGAGUCCGCCCCAGCCGCGAGAGAGAGAAGGCAUGGAGGGCGAGAACAGGAGCCCUGCUCGUCCUUCUCCACGCCCCAAGGCCAAGUUCUGUGUGUACCAGAACCCCAACUUCGCCGCCGCCCUCACCGCCCGCAGCCUCCAGCCCUCCGCUUCUGCCCUCCUUCUCAUCUCCUCCUCCUUCCUCGCCUCCGCCCUCUCCCUUCUCUCCAUCACCUCCAGGUUUGGUUUUUCCUCCACCCUCCUCUCUCUCUCUCUCUCAUAAUAAUGCCACUGGUGUUUCUGUUCCAUUUUCCUCAGGGAGGAUAGCCUCAUCAAGAGCCUGACGCGCAUCCACAUUUCCCUCAGAACAGCCCGUGAGUUCUCUUCCUCUUACUCUUUCUUUCUAUUGCUCUCCAAGUGUUUGUAAGAAUACCUACUCUUUUAAUGUGCGCCCCAGAACUCUGUACCAAGGUCUUGGAAGCUGCGGUCGGCCUGGUAUUCGUGGCCACUCUAUCGGCCCUUAUUAGGGCAGUAUCGCUCCGCAACACAAAGAAUGCCCUGGCUGUCGCUGCUCGUUCUUCAUCAGCUGCAUCCCCUUCGAAGAAACCGAAGGAGCAGAAGAGCCUCCUGACCGAGCGCCAGCUGGGACUUUUAGGCUUGAAGCCGAAACCCACUGAAGCAGCUGUAGGUGUCGAACCCGUCAAGAAGCCCCCUAAGUCCCGGCCCGUCCCAUCCUCCGAGCCCCUCGUCCCCAUCCGGAAAUCGGCGUUGAGUUAUACCCCUUCUCGGCCGUCCCGAAUUGGGUCUGAUGCACAAAGCGCCGGUGGUGGCAAGAAGCUGGCGAUGUCACCCAUAUCACCCUCCGCCUCACUUUCACAGUACACCGCCUCUCCUGCUAGUCCAUGGUCGCGGCAGGGCUCAGGCAGUGCAAAGGGGAUACAGACGGAGGCAAUGCUGGAGAAGUUCCUAGCAGAUGUAGACGAGAAGAUCACAGAGUCGGCGAUAAAGGCAGCAACACCAUCGCCUACUAUUCGGGGUUUUGGUAUUGCAAGCCCUGGGUCGGUGGCCACCUCAGCGACUGCUUCAGGUGCCACGAGGAGCACACCCUUGAGGCCUGUCAGGAUGUCCCCUGGUUCCCACCAGAAGUACACUACGCCCCCGAAGAAGGGAGAGGGGGAGCUGCCUCCUCCCAUGCCGAUGGAAGAGGCAAUCGUGGCAUUUGAGAGUUUGGGUAUCUACCCUCAGAUUGAGUGGUGGCGGGACCGCCUCAGGCAGUGGUUUUCUUCGAAUCUGGUGAAUCCGUUGCUUGAAAAGAUUGAGACAAGCCACAUUCAGGUUUUGGUGCUUGUUUUAAUCAAAUGGAUACAUGCUAAUCUGCUUACCUUUCCAAUUGCCAAUGCUGAUUUUGUUUCUGUAAUAUUUAUAGGUAAUGCAAGCGGCAGCCAGUGUUGGUGCUCCCAUUACAGUGAGUCAGGUUGGAAGUGGCACGCCGCCUGCUACAGUGCCAAUCAAUGCAUCUCCCAUUGAGGGUGCAAAAGAGUGGCAGCCAAUAUUCACAUUGGAUGAGGAUGGGCUGCUUCAUCAAUUACGUGCGAACCUUCUGCAAGCAAGAGAUCAAUCAAUAUGUCAGUUACCUUGCUACUUCUCAUCAAUGUCUUUUGUUGCUUGGUCAUUGUUCUUCUUCUUUUUUUUUGUUGAUCUCUGGUUCAACUAAUGAGUUAGUAUGCAAGUCAUUUGGUUAUAUUAUUUGGUGAAGUUUGACAUGUCAAUUCAGGCAUUUGUUUUUGGAUCUUUCCUAUUUUCAGCGCAGGCACCGUUAGCUGGUGUACAACAGCCACAACCGAAUCCUCUGUUACCUGUCAUACAGGCAUGUGUGGAUGCCAUCACUGAACACCAGAGGCUUAACACGCUGAUGAAGGGAGAGUUGAUUAAAGGCUUGCUGCCUCAGAGCAGCAUACGUGCAGAUUACACAGUUCAAAGAGUCCGAGGUAGAUUAAUUUCAUCUUGUCAUCAUUUAAAGCAAACAUGCUUUGGUAUAUUGCUUUAUUCUUGUUUACAGUUUAUAUGUAUAUCAAGAAAUGUUGGUAGCUUUAUGACAACAUUAAAUCACCAGAGUAUGAUCAUGGCAUGCCUAGUGGUAAAAUAAAUUAUUUACUGAGAACUUGGAAUUCAGCAGUAAUACUGUGCAUAUAUUUGCUGCCAUGUCACAGAGCUUGCUGAAGGAACAUGCUUGAAGAACUAUGACUAUACAGGGAAUGGACAUGGUUAUGAUAAAGCAGACAAAAAGUGGGCGGGCGAGCUACCAACUGACUCUCAUCUGCUGUUGUACUUAUUCUGUGCUUUCUUGGAGCAUCCCAAAUGGAUGUUGCAUGUUGAUCCUACCUCCUACUCUGGUGCACAGUCUAGCAAGAAUCCCUUAUUCCUGGGAGUUCUCCCUCCAAAAGAAAGGUUUCCUGAGAAGUACGUGGCUGUCAUAUCUGGCGUUCCAGCUGUCAUUCACCCAGGAGCUUGUAUAUUAGCAGUUGGGAAGCAAAGUCCCCCAAUUUUUGCUUUAUAUUGGGAUAAGAAGCUGCAAUUCUCUCUUCAGGUAAAAGCAGUUUUUUGUGGAUUUAAUCAUUUACUGUUAUCUAAUAAACUUUCAAUAAAUAUCUCUUUGUAACACUUGCAUCAACAUCAACUGCGCAUUCUUUGUUUUAAGUUGUCUAUUGUUUAUUCUUUUUUGUGGCAAAUUGUUUUAAUGAUUACCCUUUCUAUCCAUUUGAAGUACUAUUUUGAAGCACAUCAAUUUGUUUAUAAGUGGCAGAAAUAUGAACUUAGUUGGCAACACAUCCAGUCAGUGCAUAGCUAGUGACAGGCUUAGAAGACCUGUAAAUAUAAGCUGACACAUUCCUUGACACCUUGCUUCAGUUCAUGCUAACUUGUUGAUUAGGCAAAGGUUUCUUCAUGUGCUAGUAAAUUUGUUUAAAGAAUGCUGCACCAGGCACCAUGAUAACUUUUCAGGGGAUUGUUGGUCUCUAUCUCUAUCAGCUUAUCCUGGGAUUGGGUGAUUUUCAUUCAUUCACAGGUUUCCUCAGUUAUUGAUCAAAAUACAAAAAAGGGGAACCUCUACAGACCAUCAUCUUGUGCUCCCACUUAAUCACUGGGUCUGUUUCUUGGGACAAUAUUUAAUCUUUCAAGGAUAUCUAUUUGAAACUUGUAAUGAACCUGUUUGUGCUUCAGUUGUUCUAAUUAGUUUUUUAAUGACUUUCAGAGCUGCAGUUUCAUUAAGCAGUUUGCAUGUACGACUGAUUUAUAAACAAUAACCUUUCAAAUGCAAGCAGUAGACAAAAAUCUGUAAUUGGUGACUUCAGUAUCAUAUAUACUCACGGUAGGUCUGCUUCCUUUUUCUUUUUUCCAUUUUUUCAGGGAAGAACUGCAUUAUGGGAUGCUAUUUUGCUCCUUUGUCACAAAAUUAAGCAAGGCUAUGGAGGUGUUGUGAGAGGAGUUCAUCUUGGUUCUUCAGCUUUUAAUAUCCUUCCCAUUCUUGAUUCUGUUGGAGAAAGCUGAAGGCCUUUUUAAGGUACUAGCUGUUUGUAAAACUUGUUUCUUUUUCCAGCAAGUUGAUUUUUUAGUAUUAGUAGGUGUAAAUGGAUUUGAACCAUGGUUUCAAGGGUCUAAUUUGCCAGGCAUCAUCUCGCCAUUUUCAAAGGUCUACUUUGCUGGUUGUCACCCUCCUGUUAUUAUGCCAUGGGCCCUAGUCUUCUGAAUGUACAACUACUUGCUUAGUUUGCUGGUUAUAUUUCAUAUUUCAGCAAGAUGCAGUUUGUCUGACCUUGGAGUUUUGCUGUUGAGUGCUGAGAUUCUGAAGGGUGAGGAAACAAAAUGCAUGCUUACAUAGGACAAUUCCCGCAAAAUGUUGUCAGCAUUAGUUAGUUGAAUGUAGUAAAAUCCAUAUUCCUGUGAUCAGUUCUUGGAUUAUGAACUUCAGAAAGCCAUCAAAUUUGCUUUUCAUGGUGGAUUUUGUGGUGGAUUUGUCAUCCAUCAAUACCAUACAGCUACUGGAUUGCCAACGGGCCUUUGGUUCCAUGUUUUUUUGUGGUGUGCCAUAUUAAAAUACCAAGAAACAUAAUAUGAGUAUAUUUAUAAUUUUGUGUAGCACUAGAACCAAUGCUAUGGCAUAUGCAGUUCAUGCAGGCGAGUCCCCGUUGUAAAUAGGCCUCCCUGUUGCAUUGCAAAUUAAAGAGACAUUUAUGGUUCUUAGGUAAAUUAAGGAGUGAAUUUGGGCUUGCCCUAGUAGUCACACCACUUGGAAAAUAGAUGCUUUAGAUUCACUUAUGGGAUUGUGUAUCCGCAAAAUUUUGAUCUUGACUAAUUAUUGUGCAGGUGGGUCUUUUUUCUUUUGUUCUCAAAAAUAAAAAAGAAGAAAUUCUAAAAAAAGUAGCAUCGAAAAUUUGUUUUCGGUUUAUAUGGUUUCACUUUGAUCUCUAAUUUAUAAAAUAUUGAACAAGUGUUUAAAGUUUUCUUAGAAAGCAGUUUUUUCAAGGGCAGGAUGUUUGUUAAAGCUAGCAUUGAUUUUCAAUUAACUUAUUCAUUGAAAUAGUAAAAUCACAGUGAUUAUCAAAUGUGAAUCAGAUUUUUUUCUUCUUUUUUUUUGUGUGCGCAUGAGAGAGAGAGAGAGAGUCAUCUAAUCAUUCAAUGUUCUUUGUUCAAGUUUAUACAAAGUCAGCUUCUAUGGCCAAGUGUUUAUCACGCUGCUGAUAAUAUGCCACAAAUGUCUAUGGGCUCUAGUUUCAAAGGCAUAGUGCAUUCAAGAGGCUAAAUCUGCUAAACUGGACAAUGUGGAUACCUUGGGAUCAGUGCCUGCCACUAAUAUUUGCCACACUCCACGGUAGUGCAAAACCCCGAGGAUUCAUAUGGAUAGAGGGCUCAUUUCAGUAAAAAGUAUUGUCCGCUUUGAUCGUGUGUAUACUGUAACUUAUAGGCUUGCAGCUCUUGGGCCGUAGUUGAUACGCUUGCGGCUGUCGGAUUUCACGAUUUUGUCUUCUGGGCUUUGACCCAAAAGAUGCUUCUUAAGGGAGAGAAGGUUUUCUAUCUCAUAUAAGACAGUAUUUCUGAUUUACAACCGAUGUGGGAUUAAACCCCCCACAAUAGUAGCCCCCCAAUCAGAGGACUCUGUCUUAUUAGAGGCACCCUUCCUCUAGCGCUUUGUCCACGUGUAUACUGUAGCUUAUAGGCUUACGGUCCUUAAGCCGUAGUUGGUACGCUUACGAUUGUCGUAGCUUAUAGAUUUGCGGUCUUUGGGUCGUAGCUGGUACGUUUGUGGCUGUCGGGUCUUACAGUUUUGUCCUCUUGAUUUUAGCCUAAAAGGUAACUCUUGAGAGAGAGAGGGUCUCCUAUCUCAUAUAAGGUAGAGUAUUUUUGACUCACAAUUGAUGUGAGACUAAACCUCCCACAACAUAAUUCAUCAGCUUAUUGAAAGCAUUUUUGAAAGAUUAAAAAAUUAUCCGGAUAUUCUCAUCCACCAAACAAGUCCUAUAUUUGUUUCUUAAAUUUCAGUUUGAAUUUCUGCAUCAGUUUAGAUUGGAUUAUGCUAUCAUUUUGCUUCCACGCAUGCUGGUCAUUUCUUUGUUGCGCAUUGCACCUGCUCAAAAACCAUCUUAUACUAAUCAUUGUCUUGGAAAUGGCAGUGCUUGGGUGGUGGCCGGUGGGUGUCGGUGUAUAUUCCCUCUACUUAGUGCCAUCCACUAAUUUCAUCAAGUUGGUAGAACUUUUAGACUAUCAGAGUUCACUACUAUUAGAUUACAGGAAAGCAUGGCCAUAUGUGUGCAAUUUUGUUCUCAAAUCAAUUAUUUCUUUCUAAUGAAGCAUAAUAGCUUUUAAAAUUUAGAUUAAGGUUGUCUUCCCUUCACAAAUGCUUGUCGCCCUGCAAUUAAGUGGACCACAGGGGUGAGGUAGAAUCUGGCAUCUCUCUCUCUCUCUCUCAUGGAUGUUGGCCUAAUUUAGUAGGACAUGCCACAAGAUAAAGCCAGAAGGAAGGAAAUAUAAAAGGACUUUAAAAUGUAUGGAUGUUGGCCUAAUUUAGCAGGAUGCACUACAAAAUAAGCCAGAAGAAAGAAAAUAUAAAAGGACUUCAAAACGUCAAUAGUGGAGAGGAGUUGCUUUCAUCUCCCACUCCUAUCCGGAAGAUUGGGUAUGUUGAAACUUGAAAGAGAAGGGUGUCGGACAAAUUCCUAUUAAUUAAGUCUACAUAUUACUUAGUCCUUCCUAUAAGAGGGUAGAAACUGGCUGAGGCUCAUUCAAUCCCCUCAAGAACCCGGCAUGGCCUUCAGACGAGGGCUUGCUACUCUCCUCCUAGUUUCCUUCCUGUUCGGCUUCCUCUCCAGCUUUGGUAAUCUUUCUUUUGAUAGCAAGUGCUAAAAUCACGCUUGUGCGUUUUUGUUCGUAAAGAAUGCUUAAAUCCGUUGUGGGAUCCUUUACCGCCUUGACUACAGGGAUUUCCUUCAUGUUGAAUGGAAUAUGUGGCAGGUGCUGAUGACAUCAUACACUCACGAAUCUCCAGGGGCAUAUUUACCUCGUGGCCCGUUCAGCACCUGCCACAAACCCAGGUUGUAGGACAUGCUACAACCAGGUCUGAAAAGAUCCAAUGAGCCACUGAGAAAUUAUACCCUACACUGCAUGCAGCCAAUAGCAGCCACUCAUUUUUGUGGAUUUUAUUCAUCAAGCAUUUAUCUCGAUGCAUACUAACAGGAAUGAGUGGUCGUGAUUAGCUGCAUGCAGGGCCACGUGGGGCAUGUUGAUGCUGUGCAGGGUAUAAUUUCUCCCUCACGCCUAUUUAGAAUUAUCCUCCUCAGUGAUGCAUGACUGAAGUCCAAAUGGAAUCAUCGGAUGCAGCUGGUUCGUAGCAUGAGAUUCUAAUUCCUUAGAUCAGGCAAGGAAUCAAAUACUAAGAAAUCAGGUGAUGGUGUUGCAGAGGAGGGUGAUCUGAGCCUAAACUACUACUCAGAGAGCUGUCCCAGAGCUGAGGACAUAGUGAAGGAAGAGGUGGCGAAGCUGUACCACAAACAUGGCAACACUGCUGUCUCUUGGGUUAGAAAUCUCUUCCAUGAUUGCAUGGUCAAGGUUAGAUUCCUUUUCUCUAAGUAUUCAUUGAAGCAUCAGUCAUUCUCUGAUCUCAAAGCUUCUUGGAAACUUGUAUUGUGUUUACUUAUGCAGUCCUGUGAUGCCUCGCUUCUAUUGAAGACAACCAACUCAAUAAUAUCAGAGCAGACCUCCCAGCGGAGUUUCGGCAUGAGAAACUUCAAGUACAUCACAACGAUCAAGGACGCACUCGAGAGGGAGUGCCCUAAGACGGUCUCAUGUGCUGAUAUCGUUGCUCUCUCUGCAAGAGAAGGUGUUCUUUGGGUAUGUUUAAACUCUAAAUUGGUGGUCUCAGCUUUAUAUGAACCAUGGUUUAGCUAUUGAGUGUUUUCUUUCGUUGCAUCUUCCUUCACAUACAGCUUAAGAGUUUGCGAGUAGAAGAAGUGUUGCUUAUAUGAUACUGGCCUAACGGUUCACGAAGUUCUUGCGGAACCAUGGAACCAUCCACAAGCUAUUUGAUCAUUCACAAGUUCUAAGAUUUAUUAGUUGACCAAAACUAUCUCACCUACGUACUUGCAUCUUAUUUAUUUUGUGUCAGAAAGCCGUUAUUACUGUUCUGAUUUUUCACUUUUUAAACAUAGUUUUUGACUAUUUAUUAAUUCUUUCUGAGCUCUGAUGAAUUUUCUCGGUUUCUUUCAAGUUUCAACAACUAAUCAUGCAACUCUGUACACCAAAAAAAAAAUCUUAACAGCUUGGAGGCCCAUACAUUCCCAUGAAAACUGGAAGAAGAGAUAGCAAGGAAAGCCACGUAGAUAUGGUGGAGAACUCCAUUCCUAAUCACAAUGAAUCCAUCUCUCUGGUUCUCUCACGAUUCCAGUCAGUAGGAAUCGAUACAGAGGGUACAGUCGCUCUCUUAGGUAUGAACACCCUCUCCAUUUGAAAACGAGCAAUUUCUCCAUCCUCAGAACACAAUAAAAAGCUACCCUCCUCAUUUCAGGAGCUCAUUCAGUCGGCCGAGUUCAUUGUGUGAACCUUGUUGGUAGGCUCUAUCCCACCAUUGAUCCCACAAUAGAUCCUGCAUGUGGUGAAUACCUUCGAGGCCGGUGUCCCACACCAAACCCUGACCCAAACGAGGUAUCAUACUCGAGGAAUGACCGAGAGACACCGAUGGUCAUUGACAACAUGUACUACCAGAACUUGUUGAAGAACAGGGGGCUGUUACUGGUAGAUCAGCAGCUCACUUCUGAUCCUACCACCUCUCCAUUUGUGGAAUUGAUGGCAGCUAAUAACAGCUACUUCCAUGAACGGUUUGCGAGUGCUCUUCUCUUGCUAUCAGAGAACAAUCCACUGACCAUAGAUCAAGGUGAGAUAAGAAAAGACUGCAGGUUUGUCAAUGCUGAUUAAUGGGAGGCGUUGCAAACCGCCCCCAAACCUGUUGCCUCUACGUUUUUUAAGGACGGUGUGAUCACUUGUAUUUUGACAACUAAAUAGGUUGAGCGUGGGCAUAAAAAGACCAGCCAACAAGACGUGCAUUACCUCCAAACAACUUAUUUCGAUGUUAUGAAAAUAAAAAUGCAGUGCAUUGUUGUAGAAUAAAAUACCCAUACAGAAAGGUAGCUUUUGAUGGAACAUAUAAAUAUGCAUUCACACGGUGCACUUAGAGAUCUUGCAGUAUAUAACCAAAGAAGCUGCAGAUUGUGCUAUACCAAUUACCUCCAUCUAGAGGGAUUCCAGUAUCAUCCUUUUGGCUGGAGAAUGCCUAUGGGCAUCUUCCACCAAAAACAGAGAAAUGGAUGCUAACAGAAAAAUAAAGAUACUAACAGGAUAUUAAACAAGUAUGUGGCCACAGGGCGGUGACACAAGCCAUUCAUUAUCAUCGGUGACUAAUAUUUACUUCCGCCCUCCAAAACCAUAAAAAUAUUCUGUUCAAUUUUACAGCAAGAUGUAGCAACAAACAAUUGAACAAUAUUGCAUAGAAAUAACAAUUAAAUGUAUGGCAUAUCUUAAAGAGAGAUCACCAGCUAAACAGUAAGGUGCUAUACCGAACCUGAAUAUUUUCAUUAAGAAUGGGAAAUUAAUGUGUAAAAAUAUUCUAUUCAACUUUACAGCAAGAUGUAAUAAUAAACAAUUGAACAUAUUGCAAAGCAAUAAACAAUUAAACAUAUUGCAGAUCAUAAAACAAUGAUCCCCAGCUAAAAGCUGGUGCUAUACUGUAACCUGCAUGUUUUCAUAAUGAAAGAGAAAUUACCAUAUGUGCAUGUGCAGGUGCCUAAGCCCGAGUGGCAUUCUAUGCAGGUCCAGGGUUCAGAGAUUGGUGGUGAUGUUCCCAACAUAUUAGAAAGAGUGGGGGUUGGGGUGGGGGGGUGGUAAUAGGAUGGUAAUGAUGUGGCAUUGCAGCAAGCAUAUAGUGAUGGCAUUCAAGAAAGCAGGCACUGGCUGGAAAUUUUUAGUAACUCCAAUCUACCUUGAAUUUCCAACUAAAUAUAGCUUAUGCCAAAUCAAAUGGUAAACUUUCAAAGUUUCCAAGCUUAACAAAGAACUAAACCUCGAGAAUAAAAUUUUAAAGUAUCUGAACUAGACAUGCAACUAAACUAUCAGCACUAUGAUCAAGAUUUCUUGCUGGUUUUGUAGGCACCAUUUCUACUCUCCUGGAGCAGAGACCCCUUGCUUAAGCCUUUCCCUCUUCAUUUUCUUUUUGGAGACAGGUUUCUUCUUCUUUGGUGGAAGGGUCUUUUGUGCAUACAUGUAGAGGGCAUAGUUUCCAACAAGGAAAAGCAGCACAAGACCGCCAAUCACAAGUAAAACUACCAGCCCUGGGUUCAAACCUUUUGUUGCCUCCUCCCUGACCAAAUUUUCCUGCUGAAAAGAAUGAUGCCCAUCUCAUCAAAGAAAUAAAGGACUGAUAGAAAGGAACCAAGAAAAAUAGAAAUAUUCAAACUGCAGCGACAAUAAUUCACUGUUAAAUAAAUGAAAAUAAACCACCAUUCAGUUUUUUUUUUAAAAAAAAACUUAUAGAGACAGAGAGAGAACACUCACAUAAAUGAGAAUAGAAUAUGGAAGACUGAAGAAAAGAAAACAAUGAGGAUAAGCUACCAAAGAUUCAAAAUAAAUUUCCUGAACUCCUUAUAAGGUUCACCAGAAACUAAAAGGCAAAAUUAAAAAAAAUAUAGAUAUUCAAUUUAAUUAAAAAUCAUGGUAAGAUCAGGAGAAGACUCAAAUAAAAUAAUCAUAAAUGAUACUGAAAUUUCUUCAACAUAGUUGUUACUUCCAAGAUGCAACAAAGUUCUUCAAAGCAUGAAAUAUUCAAACUUUCAAAGAGUUAUUGCACGUUAACUAAUGGCUUCAGCACCAUUGAUAUUGUUCAUUCAGAAAACAACCUUCAGAUGUAAAGCAAAAUGAUUCAGCAAAGUUCUAGCUUACAGCACCUUAUCGCAGCCUCAUUCUCAUGAAAAAUUGAUAUGUCCAUAACAUGUAAAAUUGUGGUCAGCAAUCAACAAGCCAAACUAAAAACAUCUACACAUGCAGAAAUGGGCAUUGAUAAAAUAUUGCAAUCAAGUAUUUGGUUAUGGCUGUAUUUCAAGAUUAUAAUACAUUCAGAUCUAUUAGCCAAGAGGAAUUUUGAUUGAGAUGGCUUCCGCCUCCACUCUGGCCCCCACCUCUGCCACUGCUUCCAUCCUAUCCACCACACCUACUCCCCCCACUAUCACAGUAUCCUCUCCCCCUAUUCCUUCCCCUCAAACCAUUGCCCUUGACCAAUUCCACCCCAUCACCAAUCUCCCUCCCCCAUCUCCUGUCCCCACCAAAUUGCACAUCCCUAUAAUCCUGACCCCUCCCUUCCUCCGCUGCCUUCAACUCUCCCCCCUUCCUCCCCUCACCACCCCCCCUCCCCCC